CAAAGACACAAAAGCAGGCUCGAUGUAUGUGACAGAAGAUUCUGAAAUCCCUUCAGAUAUUAGGUUCUUCUGCCAAGGGCCUCAGUUCCAGUGUCACCAGCUCAGAGAGGCUUCCCCUGACCAUUCUUCCUAAAACAGCACAGACCACCCCCAGUGCCUGACUCCUCGUGGCUCUGUUUUAUCCCUUCAUAGAACACGUUGCCCUCUGAGAUGAUCUCAUAUAUUUGUUUCUGCCUCCCACACAGGAUGAGAAAACCAAGGCUCCGGAGAGCUCCUGGAAGG
rnacentral:lncRNA from 10 species